UUGACAAUCUGACCGUGAAGGCAUACUUUCAGGAGUGAGGGUUGAGCGGGGUUUCCCCCGCCCUGGUAGUCUUAGUAAGCCGGGAAGCUUAUGACUAAGAGCACCACGAUGAUGAUCCACUUCAUCAUGACCCUUUCCUU
rnacentral:sRNA from 2 species